rnacentral:lncRNA from 12 species
AUGGAUAUGUCCUGUUCCAGAGGGAACAAGAGAGGGAACAGGGAAGUAAGUAUGGCUGGCUGGAGCUGCAGCAACAGUCGAAUGCUUUGCAGCUUGCCUCCUGGAGUGUAUUGCCAAAUAGCACAGCACCUCCUCAUCUGCAUUCAGCCUACAGUGCACACAGCAGCACAUGACAGGCAUCACUUACAUUGCCAGUGGCCGGAAGGUAUGUGGUACUUCAGACCCUGAUACUCUCCAGUAUGUUCCAAGGAACCUGGAAUAGGCAGAUGGUAGUUGCAACUGGCCUGUUGGCUUAGGCUAUACUAGACCCUGUCUGGCUGCCCCAGAGCUGCAGGGAUCAGUAACUCUUGGUACCUAUUGCAACAGGUUUUGCUUUUUUUUUUUUUUUUUUUUGAAACCUUGGAUUUAGAGGGAUUAAUGCUUGGUCUUUCUGAAUUUGUAGGAAAUUGAGCUUCCUUUCACGUUUCUAGAUUUCUAAUUCAUACUGGAUAUUGUUGCAAACCACUCAUUUGGGAAGACAAGAGGCAGCAAAGUGUCAUCUCUCAGAGGGUAGACUCUAGUACCUAACUGACAGGAUCCAAAUCUCAGCCAGUUGCUACCUCUGUAUGCUGUGUUCCUCUCCUCAUCUGUAUAAAAUAGGGAUGACGAUGAUGAUGCCUUUUCCUAGGAUUGUGAAGAUUGACUUCAUGCAUAUUAGUUCCUUGAACGAGUGUAUAGUAUAGUGUCUAACAGUAUUCAUUAAUGAUGAUAAAUUGUCAGGAACAACAAGCUGAUGUUAGGGGUAUUACUAAGAAGCUGACUAGUAUGCCAGUAGACCAGUAGUAGCCUUUUUUUUUUUUUUUUUUUUUUUUUGGAGUUGGAUUCAGAGGAAUAAACAAUGGUUGUGAAAUCUGAAGGGAUUCUUA